rnacentral:rRNA from 1 species
AGCGAACGCUGGCGGCAGGCCUAACACAUGCAAGUCGAGCGCCCAGCAAUGGGAGCGGCAGACGGGAUAGUAACACGUGGGAACGUACCUUUCAGUUCGGAACAACCCAGGGAAACUUGGGCUAAUACCGAAUACGUCCGUAAGGAGAAAGAUUUAUCGCUGAAAGAUCGGCCCGCGUCUGAUUAGCUAGUUGGUGAGGUAAUGGCUCACCAAGGCGACGAUCAGUAGCUGGUCUGAGAGGAUGAUCAGCAUCACUGGGACUGAGACACGGCCCAGACUCCUACGGGAGGCAGCAGUGGGGAAUAUUGGACAAUGGGCGCAAGCCUGAUCCAGCCAUGCCGCGUGGAUGAUGAAGGCCUUAGGGUUGUAAGUCUUCGGCGGGGAAGAUAAUGACGGUACCCGCAGAAGAAGCCCCGGCUAACUUCGUGCCAGCCGCCGCCGUAA